GAUGAACGCUGGCGGCGUGCUUAACACAUGCAAGUCGAACGAUGAAGCCCAGCUUGCUGGGUGGAUUAGUGGCGAACGGGUGUGUAACACGUGAGCAACCUGCCCCUGACUCUGGGAUAAGCGCUGGAAACGGCGUCUAAUACUGGAUAUGUCCCGUCACCGCAUGGUGUGCGGGUGGAAAGAUUUUUCGGUUGGGGAUGGGCUCGCGGCCUAUCAGCUUGUUGGUGAGGUAAUGGCUCACCAAGGCGUCGACGGGUAGCCGGCCUGAGAGGGUGACCGGCCACACUGGGAUUGAGACACGGCCCAGACUCCUACGGGAGGCAGCAGUGGGGAAUAUUGCACAAUGGGCGGAAGCCUGAUGCAGCAACGCCGCGUGAGGGAUGACGGCCUUCGGGUUGUAAACCUCUUUUAGCAGGGAAGAAGCGAAAGUGACGGUACCUGCAGAAAAAGCACCGGCUAACUACGUG
rnacentral:rRNA from 1 species